rnacentral:rRNA from 1 species
AUGGUCGAUUGUUUGCACUAUUUGAGGUCGGUGGUCCAGGCCAAAUGCCGAGAGGAGAAGGCCAGAUGCACCCGGAACCCACGUAAGAUCUAUGAAGUCCUCGAUAUCAUUAGCCAACUCCUUCAGUAUCACAACCUUGCUCUCAUGUGUCGCCCCUUGGUUGUUCUCCUCAUUGAACUUGAUUUCGCUGAUCACCAUUUUCAUAUCCAGCUUGAUGUCAUUGAGGCCUCUUUUGACUGCGCUUUUCAUGGACUUAUCUCUCGUGAUCACAUCAGCCACCUUGCUAAGCACAGAGUUGGCGAAGGUCACUGCUUGAAUCACCUCUCCUCCUAUCAUUUUGGGAAUGGACGCCAAGUGGUGGAGUCGAUGAAGCGAUGGACGAAGCUACCGCCGUCGGAGUCGCUCGCCGGCGUCGCCGCAGCGGAGCGCCCGCCAGAUAUGAUAGCCAAGCUCCGCCUUGGAUGCCUCCCCGGUCCCCGCUGGUGGCUUGCCGUGAUCAGUCGAGAAAUGGAGAUGACGAGAAGAGAGACUUUGGAGCACCAGCAGCAAGCGGCGGCUUGGCUUGUGGAGAUUUUUUGGUGGCCUAGAUCAGUGCUGUGUGUGUGCGCGAGCGACUUGGAGAGACAAUGGGAUGCGGUCGGGGAAAAGAGUCGGGGGAAGAGAGAGCAGGCAUCAACAAUGGUAGCAUUUUUAAUUUGA